rnacentral:rRNA from 1 species
GGGUUGUGAGGUUAAGCGACUAAGCGUACACGGUGGAUGCCCUGGCAGUCAGAGGCGAUGAAGGACGUGCUAAUCUGCGAUAAGCGUCGGUAAGGUGAUAUGAACCGUUAUAACCGGCGAUUUCCGAAUGGGGAAACCCAGUGUGUUUCGACACACUAUCAUUAACUGAAUCCAUAGGUUAAUGAGGCGAACCGGGGGAACUGAAACAUCUAAGUACCCCGAGGAAAAGAAAUCAACCGAGAUUCCCCCAGUAGCGGCGAGCGAACGGGGAGCAGCCCAGAGCCUGAAUCAGUGUGUGUGUUAGUGGAAGCGUCUGGAAAGGCGCGCGAUACAGGGUGACAGCCCCGUACACAAAAAUGCACAUGCUGUGAGCUCGAUGAGUAGGGCGGGACACGUGGUAUCCUGUCUGAAUAUGGGGGGACCAUCCUCCAAGGCUAAAUACUCCUGACUGACCGAUAGUGAACCAGUACCGUGAGGGAAAGGCGAAAAGAACCCCGGCGAGGGGAGUGAAAAAGAACCUGAAACCGUGUACGUACAAGCAGUGGGAGCACGCUUAGGCGUGUGACUGCGUACCUUUUGUAUAAUGGGUCAGCGACUUAUAUUCUGUAGCAAGGUUAACCGAAUAGGGGAGCCGAAGGGAAACCGAGUCUUAACUGGGCGUUAAGUUGCAGGGUAUAGACCCGAAACCCGGUGAUCUAGCCAUGGGCAGGUUGAAGGUUGGGUAACACUAACUGGAGGACCGAACCGACUAAUGUUGAAAAAUUAGCGGAUGACUUGUGGCUGGGGGUGAAAGGCCAAUCAAACCGGGAGAUAGCUGGUUCUCCCCGAAAGCUAUUUAGGUAGCGCCUCGUGAAUUCAUCUCCGGGGGUAGAGCACUGUUUCGGCAAGGGGGUCAUCCCGACUUACCAACCCGAUGCAAACUGCGAAUACCGGAGAAUGUUAUCACGGGAGACACACGGCGGGUGCUAACGUCCGUCGUGAAGAGGGAAACAACCCAGACCGCCAGCUAAGGUCCCAAAGUCAUGGUUAAGUGGGAAACGAUGUGGGAAGGCCCAGACAGCCAGGAUGUUGGCUUAGAAGCAGCCAUCAUUUAAAGAAAGCGUAAUAGCUCACUGGUCGAGUCGGCCUGCGCGGAAGAUGUAACGGGGCUAAACCAUGCACCGAAGCUGCGGCAGCGACGCUUAUGCGUUGUUGGGUAGGGGAGCGUUCUGUAAGCCUGUGAAGGUGUGCUGUGAGGCAUGCUGGAGGUAUCAGAAGUGCGAAUGCUGACAUAAGUAACGAUAAAGCGGGUGAAAAGCCCGCUCGCCGGAAGACCAAGGGUUCCUGUCCAACGUUAAUCGGGGCAGGGUGAGUCGACCCCUAAGGCGAGGCCGAAAGGCGUAGUCGAUGGGAAACAGGUUAAUAUUCCUGUACUUGGUGUUACUGCGAAGGGGGGACGGAGAAGGCUAUGUUGGCCGGGCGACGGUUGUCCCGGUUUAAGCGUGUAGGCUGGUUUUCCAGGCAAAUCCGGAAAAUCAAGGCUGAGGCGUGAUGACGAGGCACUACGGUGCUGAAGCAACAAAUGCCCUGCUUCCAGGAAAAGCCUCUAAGCAUCAGGUAACAUCAAAUCGUACCCCAAACCGACACAGGUGGUCAGGUAGAGAAUACCAAGGCGCUUGAGAGAACUCGGGUGAAGGAACUAGGCAAAAUGGUGCCGUAACUUCGGGAGAAGGCACGCUGAUAUGUAGGUGAAGCGACUUGCUCGUGGAGCUGAAAUCAGUCGAAGAUACCAGCUGGCUGCAACUGUUUAUUAAAAACACAGCACUGUGCAAACACGAAAGUGGACGUAUACGGUGUGACGCCUGCCCGGUGCCGGAAGGUUAAUUGAUGGGGUUAGCGCAAGCGAAGCUCUUGAUCGAAGCCCCGGUAAACGGCGGCCGUAACUAUAACGGUCCUAAGGUAGCGAAAUUCCUUGUCGGGUAAGUUCCGACCUGCACGAAUGGCGUAAUGAUGGCCAGGCUGUCUCCACCCGAGACUCAGUGAAAUUGAACUCGCUGUGAAGAUGCAGUGUACCCGCGGCAAGACGGAAAGACCCCGUGAACCUUUACUAUAGCUUGACACUGAACAUUGAGCCUUGAUGUGUAGGAUAGGUGGGAGGCUUUGAAGUGUGGACGCCAGUCUGCAUGGAGCCGACCUUGAAAUACCACCCUUUAAUGUUUGAUGUUCUAACGUUGACCCGUAAUCCGGGUUGCGGACAGUGUCUGGUGGGUAGUUUGACUGGGGCGGUCUCCUCCUAAAGAGUAACGGAGGAGCACGAAGGUUGGCUAAUCCUGGUCGGACAUCAGGAGGUUAGUGCAAUGGCAUAAGCCAGCUUGACUGCGAGCGUGACGGCGCGAGCAGGUGCGAAAGCAGGUCAUAGUGAUCCGGUGGUUCUGAAUGGAAGGGCCAUCGCUCAACGGAUAAAAGGUACUCCGGGGAUAACAGGCUGAUACCGCCCAAGAGUUCAUAUCGACGGCGGUGUUUGGCACCUCGAUGUCGGCUCAUCACAUCCUGGGGCUGAAGUAGGUCCCAAGGGUAUGGCUGUUCGCCAUUUAAAGUGGUACGCGAGCUGGGUUUAGAACGUCGUGAGACAGUUCGGUCCCUAUCUGCCGUGGGCGCUGGAGAACUGAGGGGGGCUGCUCCUAGUACGAGAGGACCGGAGUGGACGCAUCACUGGUGUUCGGGUUGUCAUGCCAAUGGCACUGCCCGGUAGCUAAAUGCGGAAGAGAUAAGUGCUGAAAGCAUCUAAGCACGAAACUUGCCCCGAGAUGAGUUCUCCCUGACCCUUUAAGGGUCCUGAAGGAACGUUGAAGACGACGACGUUGAUAGGCCGGGUGUGUAAGCGCAGCGAUGCGUUGAGCUAACCGGUACUAAUGAACCGUGAGGCUUAACCUUACAACGCCGAAGCUGUU